rnacentral:rRNA from 1 species
ACCGCCAGCUAAGGUCCCAAAGUUGUGGUUAAGUGGUAAACGAUGUGGGAAGGCUUAGACAGCUAGGAGGUUGGCUUAGAAGCAGCCAUCCUUUAAAGAAAGCGUAAUAGCUCACUAGUCGAGUCGGCCUGCGCGGAAGAUGUAACGGGGCUCAAACCACACACCGAAGCUGCGGGUGUCACGCAAGUGACGCGGUAGAGGAGCGUUCUGUAAGCCUGUGAAGGUGAGUUGAGAAGCUUGCUGGAGGUAUCAGAAGUGCGAAUGCUGACAUGAGUAACGACAAUGGGUGUGAAAAACACCCACGCCGAAAGACCAAGGGUUCCUGCGCAACGUUAAUCGACGCAGGGUUAGUCGGUUCCUAAGGCGAGGCUGAAAAGCGUAGUCGAUGGGAAACAGGUUAAUAUUCCUGUACUUCUGGUUACUGCGAUGGAGGGACGGAGAAGGCUAGGCCAGCUUGGCGUUGGUUGUCCAAGUUUAAGGUGGUAGGCUGAAAUCUUAGGUAAAUCCGGGGUUUCAAGGCCGAGAGCUGAUGACGAGUCGUCUUUUAGAUGACGAAGUGGUUGAUGCCAUGCUUCCAAGAAAAGCUUCUAAGCUUCAGGUAACCAGGAACCGUACCCCAAACCGACACAGGUGGUCGGGUAGAGAAUACCAAGGCGCUUGAGAGAACUCGGGUGAAGGAACUAGGCAAAAUGGCACCGUAACUUCGGGAGAAGGUGCGCCGGCUAGGGUGAAGGAUUUACUCCGUAAGCUCUGGCUGGUCGAAGAUACCAGGCCGCUGCGACUGUUUAUUAAAAACACAGCACUCUGCAAACACGAAAGUGGACGUAUAGGGUGUGACGCCUGCCCGGUGCCGGAAGGUUAAUUGAUGGGGUUAGCGCAAGCGAAGCUCUUGAUCGAAGCCCCGGUAAACGGCGGCCGUAACUAUAACGGUCCUAAGGUAGCGAAAUUCCUUGUCGGGUAAGUUCCGACCUGCACGAAUGGCGUAACGAUGGCGGCGCUGUCUCCACCCGAGACUCAGUGAAAUUGAAAUCGCUGUGAAGAUGCAGUGUAUCCGCGGCUAGACGGAAAGACCCCGUGAACCUUUACUGUAGCUUUGCACUGGACUUUGAGCCUGCUUGUGUAGGAUAGGUGGGAGGCUUUGAAGCGUGGACGCCAGUUCGCGUGGAGCCAUCCUUGAAAUACCACCCUGGCAUGCUUGAGGUUCUAACUCUGGUCCGUAAUCCGGAUCGAGGACAGUGUAUGGUGGGCAGUUUGACUGGGGCGGUCUCCUCCUAAAGAGUAACGGAGGAGUACGAAGGUGCGCUCAGACCGGUCGGAAAUCGGUCGCAGAGUAUAAAGGCAAAAGCGCGCUUGACUGCGAGACAGACACGUCGAGCAGGUACGAAAGUAGGUCUUAGUGAUCCGGUGGUUCUGUAUGGAAGGGCCAUCGCUCAACGGAUAAAAGGUACUCCGGGGAUAACAGGCUGAUACCGCCCAAGAGUUCAUAUCGACGGCGGUGUUUGGCACCUCGAUGUCGGCUCAUCACAUCCUGGGGCUGAAGCCGGUCCCAAGGGUAUGGCUGUUCGCCAUUUAAAGUGGUACGCGAGCUGGGUUUAGAACGUCGUGAGACAGUUCGGUCCCUAUCUGCCGUGGACGUUUGAGAUUUGAGAGGGGCUGCUCCUAGUACGAGAGGACCGGAGUGGACGAACCUCUGGUGUUCCGGUUGUCACGCCAGUGGCAUUGCCGGGUAGCUAUGUUCGGAAAAGAUAACCGCUGAAAGCAUCUAAGCGGGAAACUUGCCUCAAGAUGAGAUCUCACUGGGAACUUGAUUCCCCUGAAGGGCCGUCGAAGACUACGACGUUGAUAGGCUGGGUGUGUAAGCGUUGU